CAAUAUAGGAGUGGCGCACGGGUGAGUAACGCGUGGGAACAUGCCUUUCAGUCUGGGAUAACGUCGGGAAACUGACGCUAAUACCGGAUAUUCCCCCCGGGGGAAAGAUUUAUCGCUGAAAGAUUGGCCCGCGUUAGAUUAGCUAGUUGGUGGGGUAAAGGCCUACCAAGGCUACGAUCUAUAGCUGGUCUGAGAGGACGACCAGCCACACUGGAACUGAGACACGGUCCAG
rnacentral:rRNA from 1 species